CCCCUCUCAGGACCAUACCUGGAGAGUUUCCAGUACUCUACCAGUCUCGGCUAUGGGAGGGAGAGUCAAGCAGAGGCAUACUCAUUCCAUUCCUAGCUUUGGCCAGUGGCUAGAAAGUGGAAGGCAAUCUGCUACAAGU